GUCCUGUUGAAAGCUUCCUGGGUCAGGUUGGGAUUGGGAUGAGUGUAGGUGCCUGAGGGUGAUUUCUGGGAUCUACUUUUUGCAGAUAAGAGGUUUUAGAGCUGGAAGGGAUUUUAGAGACCUCUUUAAUGAGGAUGUUGAGGACAACAAAGGAAAAAUAAAUUACCUAAAACCACACAGCUAAUGAGACCGGAAGCGGGGACAGGGGUCUUCUGACUCCUAAGAUGGCUGUCCACCAGGCCCCCUUCACGGUGCUGUUCCUUGGCUUUCGUGGGGACAGAAUCGGGUAAAGGGUGGAAAAAGGAGCCAACUUUUCUGGAGACUCAGGACCCAUUUGGCAGAGAAGCACAUAGAAAAGCCAGAGAAUGCAGCCUGGAGAGAUGGAAGAUGCCAGUCAGGUCUCACUAGUGUCUAGGAAUGGAAGGUUUUCUCAGCAUCCAAUACCGACUGGAAGAAGCUCCUGCCAGCCAUGUAAGAAGGACAAUGUCAGGCUCUAAUCAGGGAGAGCCUUGGAGAGCUGAGGAGAUUCCCCAAUUUCUUCCUGCUCAUCAUUUUCAGUCCCUGACGUCCAUUUCCACAGAGGAAUUAGCAGUAAGUUCUCUAAAAGGGGAGCUGAUUGCUGAUUUGCUUGUUUUAAGGGAUGAGGUAGAAGAGAGGAGUUGGGGAGACUUUGCUUUUCCCAAGAGCUGGUCACAGGAGAAGAAAGUGCUCUUUGUUGGUUGUAGCAGCUCUGGACUGGAAAGAAAAGCAGGUCAAACACCUGGGCCUGUGUACUGGGCAGUGUGCCAUCCUCC
rnacentral:lncRNA from 1 species